ensembl:lncRNA
AGGCUAGUUUCCCCAUGUCAAGAUCCUUCCUUUAACCACAUCUGCAAAGUCUGCUGUGCCGUGUCAGUGCCUCCCAUUGACCAAAUCCAGUGAGAAACCAGAGGGCAAGAGAACCCACUGAUGCGUCUAGCGGAGCAAAUGGAAGACGCUCAGCUUAAUGGCUGACUACAAGACACACACAGAAAAAUAAAUCAAGCACAGAUAUGUCUACUUGGGAGAUACUCUUCCCAGGGAACGUGUGAAUGAGGUCAAGCUCCAGCGAGAAGCUGAGAAUUGGCUGCACUCAUCCGAGGCCAGAGGCUAGAGAGAUGCUUAUAGCACACAGAGAUAUCUGGACUCCAGGAUUGAGAGACAACGGACUCUGCUGUUUUAAGCCCACAGUUUGUGGCAGAUGGUUACGCAGCCCUAAGGAAACUAACAACCUGACCUGCCCUUCAGGUGCUCCCUGUU